rnacentral:rRNA from 1 species
UACGUAGGUGGCAAGCGUUGUCCGGAUUUACUGGGUGUAAAGGGUGCGCAGGCGGAUUUUUAAGUCAGCGGUAAAAGCCCGGGGCUCAACCCCGGCCCGCCGUUGAAACUGGCUGGCUUGAGUUGGGGAAAGGCAGGCGGAAUGCGCGGUGUAGCGGUGAAAUGCAUAGAUAUCGCGCAGAACCCCGAUUGCGAAGGCAGCCUGCCGGCCCCACACUGACGCUGAGGCACGAAAGCGUGGGGAUCGAACAGG